CAGGGAGGCAGGAACUAACAUGGUUGUUGGAAUGGAAAAAAGUCUCUCAAAUGUUCCAAUUCUAUGUCUCUUUUAUCCAACAUCCUAGCAGCUUGCCCAGCUGACAGUUAUAUUUCCUAGACUUAGAUAACCCAUUUCCCAACCAGUGUUUGACUAGGACCUGUAUAUAUUUCAUCUUAGAAGAAGCAGCUUUCAGGUUGUAUUUUGGAUUUGUGCAAACAUCCUAAGUCAUAUUUCCGCCAACUUUAUUUUCUGAUAAAUAUAUACAGGUUUGCCUAUAAUUUCUUUGUAAAAAUUUAUUCCUUUCUUUAGUUUUCUAUUUUGAAAUAUUAGAAUAAGUUCACUAUUCCAAAGACUAAAUAUAUACUGCUAUUUUUUUUUCUUGGCACUAUUUAGCAAAUAUAUUUAUUCUUAAUUUGCUUUAAAAACUGACCAGUGUAGAAUAGGAUUUGGCACAUUGUAGGUAUCCUUAUUUAUGAAAUAAAAUGAGUAAUAAGUACAAUUAUAAGCAUUACACUUGUACCCAUAAUGGUCUCAUAACUUCAUUAGAGAGCUCACUCUUGCUGAAAUAGCUCCCCUAAUUCCUGCCACAACUAUGUAAAAGUUCCCUUUUGCUUGAGGUUUUAAUUUUGCAUAAAUCUUCAUAACUAAAGAACCUUAAAAAUAAGCUUUAUUGUUAUUUAUUUUAUAAUCCCUUGUAGCCUAUAAUGUGUAAUAACAGUGGCUUGCACAUAGUAGUACUUCAGAAAUUGCACAUAGUAGUACUGCACUGAAAUACAGUAUCAGUGAAAGAAGGAAUUACAUUUUAUUCCAUAAGAAAUUACUUAGGGGCCUGAAAACUACAUCAACUGUUGGCUUUUUAUCUGUCAAACUUGAUACAUUCCCAGAUUCAUUCCUCCCCAAUUUCACUUUUGAUUAGUCACUGGAAUCACAGUUCUAUGACUAAUAUGACCCUUUCACUUUUGUUCACUUAUACAAAGGGCUAGCAGUACCAAGCUCAUUUAUGGUAUAAAUUGUCUAAGAUUUAAACACUCUAGUUUUGUUCCCAGUUUACCAACUACUUUAGAAAAUUUAUUUUAACCUCUUAGAGUCUUGGUUUCCUAAUCUAUGCAGUUGGAAGAAUAGUAUAUAUAUAUUUUUAUAUAUAUAGUAUAUAUUUUAUAUAUAUAUAGUGUGUAUAUAUAUAUGUAUUUUUUUUUUUUUUUGUCUUUUUAGGGCCGCACCUGUGGCCCAUGGAAGUUCCCAGGCUAGGGGUUGAAUCGGAACUGUAGCUUCCAGCCUAUAUAUACCACAGCAACAUGGGAUCCAAGCCACAUCUGCUACCUAUACCACAGCUCAUGGCAACACUGGAUCCUUAAUCCACUGAGCAAGGCCAGGGAUUGAACCUGCAUACUCAUGGAUACUAGUCAGGUUCAUUUCCACUGAGCCACAAUGGGAACUCCAGUAUAAUCUAUUUUUUGAUCAAAGAUAGCUUUGAGAUAUCUAAUGAAAUUAAGUUAAAGGAAAGUUUCAAAAUUUGUUAAGGUGCUAGGAAAAUAUAAAUGAUGAUUAUGGCAAAAAGCUAAAAUAAAAGCCCAAUAUUUGCCUGGAUCUUUCCUAAAUUAUCUGCUUUCCAGCUGUGUGUGUGUGUGUGUGUGUGUGUGUUGUCUAUUUGUUUGUUUUUGCUUUUAGAAUAAUCCAAAUUUCUACCAGCAAUAUAUGACAACAGUAGUGGCCAAUGAUAGAGUGGGUACCAUUUAACAGACAUUCAUUUAGGUACUUAAAUUUAAUUCUUACAAUUAUGUGAGGUAGAUAUUAAUUCUAGCGACAUAACAGAGAGGGGAAAAUUGAAGCUUAGAAAGGCUCGGCAGCUUGUCCAAAGACAAAUAAUUAUUAUGUGUGGGAGUCCAUAUUCAAAGCUAGGAAUGACUGACCCCAAAGUUCAUUUGAUUAACCAAUUUGCUACCACGCCCCCUUCUAUCCCCUCUAAAUGCACAUCUUUCUUUACUCCUCUCUCUGCAUCUGCCAAUAUGAAAGUGCCAGGUGUGAAAGCUUCUGAGACCUCUUCAUCUGAGAAAUUGAGAACUCAGAGAAAAAUGAAAAUUAGGCCACAAAUUUAAUGUAAAACAGAGGUCAGACUUGAGAGGCCUUAUCUAUUGAAUAGCAGCAGUUUAAAUAGCUUCAAAGUCCCUUCUCACACAGAAUAAUCUCUGCAAAUUCAAUUCAGUUACAUCAAUAUGAUUAUGAACUAUGUAAUGACUUAUGGAAAUUCAAAUUUAGGAGCAAACAGAUUGAUUUGCGCUUUGCUGACCAGAGCCUAUUCAGUAGAGACGGGCACAAAUUUUAUUUUUAUGUAAAUCACCUCAAAUACAGCUCUUUCUUCUAAAUUAUAUGAAACUGGCAUUUGCCCAUGUGCAUUAUUUCCUGGGCAGCAGGAACCGUGGCUGGCACCUGAAAGCCCAGCAAAUCCAAAUGUGGAUGUGAGGAAAAAGGAUCAGGAACGGAAGCAUUUUCAUUUUCAAUAUUCAGAAAUUGACAAGUGCUUUGAGGUUUGAUGUCUAUUUAGCGUGAUUUAAUAGAAAAGUUUGGAAUUAGAAUCAGGAAAAGCCAGGGUGGAAUUUGAUAUGGAUGAUUUUUUGCCCUCAGUGAAGUUGGACUCUCUUACUUCCUGUUGUCUGUAUCUUUUUCAUUUUUUCAGCAAACCUUUCCCAAGGACUUCUUACAUGUCAGUCACCUGGAUAAGACUCUGGGAGAUGAGCAACACAGAAUUCCUUGCUAAUGUAGUUGCCCAUCUAAAGACAGGAUAAUAGAAACCUAAAUAAAAGUCACAGCUUUGCAGGACUGGAGCAAGACAAUGGUGGAAGUGAAGGGAGAGGAACUGUAACAAAAAGAGUUAAUUUUAUUUCGGCAGACAGAUAGGCUUCUGAGGAAAUACAUUGCUUGAGAAAUAGAUCUUUAUAGAUGGUAAAUAAAGGUAACUAUAUGAAUUUAGCAGGGCGAUAUUGGGAACAAAUAUAAAAAUAUAUGUAAGUUCUGAUCUUAAUGAUCUGUAUCCAAAUGCUAGCGUUAUUUUUUUUUAAUUGCACAAGUAUAAAACCAGGAAUUAGCUCUUACUGUUCAGAACCUAUUCUUCUGCUGUAUUUAAACAUUCAUUUUUUAAUAUCAGAGUCAUCCUUAUUUUGUGCCUGUAACUGAUUUUCACCAGCCUGAAACGCCUGUAAAAGGCACAGGAGCACUCAGGGUACUAUAUCCCAACCCAAAACAUGCUUUUUAUCUCUAUAAAAAUAUAAAUACAAUAUAAAUAUAAUUUAUCCACUUAUAUUCUAUCUACCACACAUAAAUGCAAGUACCUGAGUUAGAUCAGUAUACAAGAAAUUGCACCUGUACUCUUGGAUCAAUUAUACUCACCCUUAUCUCUCUGCAUCCCCUAAGCUCCAAACCACAGGCUCUUGCCUCUGGCCUCAGGUUUUUGUUUUUCCCUCUUUAUUUAGCAAAAUAUCUGAAUCAUUGCAUUUAGAGCUGUUUGCCCUGGACUCCAUGGAACCUGAAGUAUAUACCAGACAGGUUUUUUUUUUUUUCUUUCUUUUUUCUUUUUUUAGGGCCACACCCAAGGCAUAAGGAAGUUCCCAGGCUAGGGGUUGAAUCAGAGCUGCAGCCAAGCAACACGGGAUCCGAGCCACAUUGUGUGACCUACACCACAGCUCACAGCAACACAGGAUCCUUAACCCAAGAGGGCCAGGGAUUGAAUGUGCAUCCUCAUGGAUACUAGUUGGGUUCCUUACUGCUGAGCCACAAGGAGAAUUCCUAUCCCUGGUAUUUUAAACUCAGUGUUAUGAGAUUCUCCAUUUUGUUAAAUGAGGCAACUUAUUCCUUCUCAUUUCUGCACAUUACUUCAUUGUAAGAACGCAUCAAUUUAUGAGUUCUACUAUUAGUAGAUACAUGUUUAUUGGUAGGUAUGUGUUUAUUGAUAGGUAUGUGUUAUUUCCAGAUUUUGUUUAUUACAGAUAAUUCUAUCAUGAAUAUUUUGUACAUAUAUUUGGUGCACAUAUAUGCACUAUUGUAAAUGUACCUAGAAUUUUAAUUGAUGGAACCUCAUAUAGACAUAUGUUCAACUUAAAUAAAAAAGACAAAUCGUGUUCCAAAAUGGCACUAUAAUUUUAUAAAUUCAAUGGGUCAGAUUUUCAGUUGUUCCUUAUUCCCAGCAACAUAGUACUUUUGGUCUUUUUAUUGUUAGUCAUUCUGAUGGGUAUGGAGUAGCAUUGAUUUAUGGUUUUGAUUUGCAUUCUUCUUAUCACUAAUGUGAAUGAUUUUUCAUACACUAAAUAGCUAAGGGAUAUCCUCAUUUGUGAUGUUCCUGUUCAAGUCACUGGUUCAUUUUUCUAACUGGGUUGAUUGUUGUGAUAGGCAGAAAAAAGGGACCCCAAAAAAGUCCACACUAUGAUCCCCAGAACUUGUAAUACAGGUUCUUAUAAUAAGUGUUACCUUACAUGUCAAAAAUAGCUUUAUAGAUAUGCUUAAGGUUAAGGUGGUAAAAUUGUCCUGGUUAUCUAGAUGGGCCCUGUUUAAGAUCUCACAUGAAACCUUAAAAGUGGAAGUGGAAGGUAGAUAAGUAAGGUCAGAAUGAUGACAGUGUGAGAAUGAUUUGACACCAUGUUGCUGAUUCUGAGAUGUAUACCUAAAAGAGCUGAAGAGAUCCCUCUAGGAGCUGAGGACAGUCCCCAGUUGACAGCAAUUUUAUGGAGACCUCAGCCCUGCAACUGCAUGGAACUGAAUUCCAAGUCUGAAUAAGCCAGGAAAUGGAUUUGUCUUUGGGGACUUCAGAAAGGCAUGUAACCCUGCUGACCCUUUGAUUUUAGCAGUCAGACCUAUUGCAGAUUUCUGACUUGCAGAACUGUAGGAUAAUAUGUUAAUAUUGUUUAAAGCCCUUAAGUUUAUUCUAAGUUAGGCUCAUGAAAGAAAAUUAAUACAACUAUCUUUUUAAUUUAUAUGCAUUAAGUUCCUUCUAUAUUUUGAAUAUGAAUUAACCAUUGCAAAGACCUUGUCCCAACCUGAUUUUCCUUUUCAUUUCUUUUUUUUUUUUUUUUAGGGCCACACCCAUGGCAUAUGGAGGUUCCCAGGCUAGGGGUCCAAUCAGAGCUGUAGCCACCAGCCUACGCCACAGCCACAGCAAAGCAGGAUCCGAGCCGCAUCUGCGACCUACAGCACAGCUCAUGGCAAUGCCAGAUCCUCAACCCACUGAGCAAGGCCAGGGAUAGAACCCGCAUCCUCGUGGAUGCUAGUCAGGCUCAUUAACCACUGAGCCGCAAUGGGAACUCCCUCUUUUCAUUUCUUAAUGGAAUAUUUUGAUAAAAAGUUUUUAAUUCUAAUGUAGUUCAUUUAUUGAUCUUUUCUGUAUAACUCAUUGUGUAUCUUAUUUGAGAUUUAUCUGGCUACCCCAAGCUAAUUAAGAUAUUCUCUCAAUUGUGAUAUAAAAUUCCUAUAUUAUGGCAAAAGAAAAAAAAUUUUAAACAUAAAAAUUCUUUUCUGCUCUUUGGUUCUCUCUCUUCCCCCACUAUGCAUUUGUAUGUCUGCAUUAUGCAAUAACUAAACCUCCCUUAUCAGCAGGAAUACCUACUCAACCAUCAAAAGCAACAUUCUUUUAGCAUCAACAAAACAAUACCCUUUUUUGCGUCUUUUUUUUUUUUUUUUUUUUAGAGCCACACCAGCAACAUAUGGAAGUUCCCAGGCUAGGGGUCCAAUUGGAGCUUCAGCUGCCAGCCUACACCACAGCCACAGCAGAUGCAGGAUAUGAGCCAAGUCUGCAACCUAUACCACAGCUCACUGCAAGGCCAGAUCCUUAACCCACUGAGCAAAGCCAGGGAUGGAACCCACGUUCACAGAUACUAGUCAGGUUCUUUACCGCUGAGCCACAAUGGGAACUCCAACAACACCUUAAAAGAACAUUCCUUCUUGAUCUUGUAAGAGCUUAUAGGAUCCACUAAGACUAUACUUAGAUCUGGAUUCUGUAAACUGUAAAGUCUUCUCUCAAAAAACUUAUAUAACCAUGCCUUGAUUUCUAACCAGGAACACAGUUCUCAGAGCUUUCUGAGAUGCUCUUCCUGGAGUAUAAUCCUCAAAUUUGCCUUGAAUAAAAAUUUCCAUUUCUUUCCUAGAUUGACUGAUUACUCUUUUGUCAACACAAUCCACUUAGAUAUCUUUGCAUAUGGUAUGACAUGAGUCCAGUUUCAUUUUUCACAUGGCUAUCCAAACGGACACUUCACCAUUUAUUUAAAAGACUGCUUUCCAACACUGACUCUUUUCCAGUCCACCUUUGUGAUAUAUCAAGUGUUUUUAUAAAUGUAUCUCUUUUUCAACUCCCAUUUCUUUUUAAUCUUUCCUUUCUUUUAAUUUCUUUCUUUUAAGUUUUCCUUUCUUACGCUAUACAGUUUAAAUCAGCACUAUUUUUAAAGUCUUGAUAAUUAAAAAAGUCACUCGAAUUUGUUCUUUUUCAAGAAUGCAUGGGUUGGAGUUUCCAUGGAGUUUGGCUUAGCAGGUAAGAACCCAACAUAGUAUCCAUGAAGAUACAAGUUGAUUCCUGGCCUUGUUCACUGGGUUAAUAAGGAUGCAGCUUUGCAGCAAGCUGAGGUAUAGGUUGCAGAUGCGGCUUGGAUCUGGUGUUGCUAUGGCUGUGGCAUAGGCCAGCAGCUACACCUCUGAUUCAUUGCCUAACCCAGGAAUUUUCAUAUGCCACAGGUGCAGCUAUAAAAAAUAAAUAAAUAAAAAUAAAUAAAUUUGGGCAGUUUUGCACUUUUAUGGUAUUAUUUGCCAAUUCAUGAAAAUGGAAUUCCAUGGUUUUUAGGUCUUCCUCUGUUUUAUUUGUAUUUAAUCAUAUGUUGUGGUUCUCUCUGAAAUAAUCAUACAUAUCAGUCAUUAAUCACUGUACAUAUGAUGCUUUAUUAAAACUUGUUCUUUUACAUUUUAUUUCCUAAUUGUUCAUUGCAUAUAGAAAUUAAAUGAUAUUUUAUAAAAACUUUGUGUAUAGAGACUAUUUUAAAUCACUUUGGUGUCUACAAACUAUAUAUUGUUUUCUACAUAAAUGAUAGUGGGAUUUUUUUUAAUAAAACUUGUACCUAUUUCGCCCCUUACAAUUAUUUUGCUUUUUAGUUACUUUUCAAUCUUAAUUCUGGAUAGGAUACCCUCUAUCAUAAUAGAAAUGGCAAUAGAAGUCCUCCUUGUCUUGUUACUGACUCAAGGGAGAAAAUUUUAUUAAUGAGUAUUAACAGACAUUUACUGUUAGAUUUUUUUCUAUAGGUACCUGAUAUAAAAAUAAGAACAUUUCUGCCUAUUUCUAAUUUCUCGGUAGUUUCUGUUAUGAAUCGGAGUUAAAUUUUAGCAAUUGUUUUUCCUGUACCUAUUGAGGUUCAUUAAUCAUAGCCUUUUUUCCUUUAUUCUAGUAGUGUGUUGAAUUACACUGACUGACUUACAAUGGUUAAACUAAUUUUGUAUUCUUGGGAAAAGGACAAACUUCAUCAUGAUUUGGGGAUAUUUUUCUUUCAUUUAUUGAUGAAUUUAGCUAAUACUCAUACAUUUAGAAUUUUCGUAUAUAUGUUAAUGGGCUAGAUUGGGCAACUAAUACCACCUUGAAAUACAUCCUAAAAACUUGACAGAACUACAGAGAAAAAUGAUAUGAUCAUCUUAAUAGAUGCAGAAAAAGUACUUGCAAAAUUCAUUAUCCACUCCUGAUAAAACCUCAUCAAACUAGGAACAGAAUGGAGUUUCCUUAACCUCACAUAAUGAAUCUAUAAACAAAAUCUAUAGCCCAAGACUGAGUUAACCCCAUCCCCCAAAGUAGUGAUAUUUCCCCUCAUCAAUUCUAAUCAUUCAGCUUUGUACCUAAGGUUUUAGCCAUGCUAAUAUGCAAGGAAAUAAAUAUAAGUAGUAUCCAGAUUGUAAAGGUAGCAUAAU
rnacentral:lncRNA from 1 species